rnacentral:misc_RNA from 1 species
GUCGAUCGGCGGCAUGGUCCUGACGACCGAGGCGAUGAUCACCGACAAGCCCGAGCCCAAGACCGCCGCGCCACCGAUGCCGCCGGGCGGCAUGGGCGGCAUGGGCGCGAUGGGCGGCAUGGGCGGCAUGGGCGACUUCUAGGCACCGGCUUCCCGCAGCGGCGCGUAACCGUCCCACCCGCUGCCUCCGCGCGCGCCACAAUGACGUAAGUGCUGGAGGCGACAUGUUGACGGCUUCGCAGCCCCGGUCGGCAUACGUUGGCG